rnacentral:rRNA from 1 species
GAUGAACGCUGGCGGCGUGCCUAAUACAUGCAAGUCGAGCGAACAGACGAGGAGCUUGCUCCUCUGACGUUAGCGGCGGACGGGUGAGUAACACGUGGAUAACCUACCUAUAAGACUGGGAUAACUUCGGGAAACCGGAGCUAAUACCGGAUAAUAUAUUGAACCGCAUGGUUCAAUAGUGAAAGACGGUUUUGCUGUCACUUAUAGAUGGAUCCGCGCCGCAUUAGCUAGUUGGUAAGGUAACGGCUUACCAAGGCAACGAUGCGUAGCCGACCUGAGAGGGUGAUCGGCUACACUGGAACUGAGACACGGUCCAGACUCCUACGGGAGGCAGCAGUAGGGAAUCUUCCGCAAUGGGCGAAAGCCUGACGGAGCAACGCCGCGUGAGUGAUGAAGGUCUUCGGAUCGUAAAACUCUGUUAUUAGGGAAGAACAAAUGUGUAAGUAACUAUGCACGUCUUGACGGUACCUAAUCAGAAAGCCACGGCUAACUACGU